AGAGUUUGAUCAUGGCUCAGAACGAACGCUGGCGGCGUGGAUAAGACAUGCAAGUCGAACGGGACUAUUUCUAGUAGCAAUACCGGGACUAGUUUAGUGGCGAGCGGGUGCUUAACACGUGGGCAACCUGCCAGGAAGUGGGGGAUAGCUCGCCGAAAGGCGAAUUAAUACCGCAUGUGAUUAGAGAGGACAUCCUUUCGAAAUUAAAGUCGGGGCAACCUGACGCUUCUUGUGGGGCCCGCGGCCUAUCAGCUAGUUGGUGAGGUUACGGCUCACCAAGGCUUUGACGGGUAGCUGGUCUGAGAGGACGACCAGCCACACUGGGACUGAGACACGGCCCAGACACCUACGGGUGGCAGCAGUCGAGAAUUUUUGACAAUGGGGGAAACCCUGAUCGAGCGACGCCGCGUGGAGGAUGAAGGUCUUCGGAUUGUAAACUCCUGUCAUUUGGGAACAAUGCACAGAUAUUAACUGUAUUUGUGUUGAUAGUACCAGAAGAGGAAGAGACGGCUAACUCUGUGCCAGCAGCCGCGGUAAUACAGAGGUCUCAAGCGUUGUUCGGAUUCAUUGGGCGUAAAGGGUGCGUAGGCGGCGCGGUAAGUCGGGUGUGAAAUCUCGGGGCUUAACUCCGAAACUGCAUUCGAUACUGCCGUGCUUGAGGACUGGAGAGGAGACUGGAAUUUACGGUGUAGCGGUGAAAUGCGUAGAUAUCGUAAGGAAGACCAGUGGCGAAGGCGGGUCUCUGGACAGUUCCUGACGCUGAGGCACGAAGGUCAGGGGAGCAAACGGGAUUAGAUACCCCGGUAGUCCUGACAGUAAACGGUGCACGUUUGGUGUGGGAGGAUUCGACCCCUUCUGCGCCGGAGCUAACGCGUUAAACGUGCCGCCUGGGGAGUACGGUCGCAAGAUUAAAACUCAAGAAAUUGACGGGGCCCGCACAAGCGGUGGAGUAUGUGGGCUC
rnacentral:rRNA from 1 species